UUUGCAUUCAUCGAUUCCUAUUUCUUUUUUCUGUUUAUUGUUAUCGAAACCCUAAUUUCUUGUUUGGUACACCGCAGGACCGAAAGACUGGUCAAAAGAGCAAAAGAGGAAGUCCUUAAGGUUCAUCUUGGCACCGAUUGACGCUUCGCGAGAAAUUCUUCGCUCUGUCUAUCUCUCACUCGCGGCUAGGGAUUUAGAGGAAAUUCAAGAGCUGUUGAGAUUGGUCGAUGGCACUGUAAACCCUUCACUUUCUCAGAGAUUGCAAAGCCAGUAUCUCUGCAAACAGUAAGUUCUAAAUACCCAUCAACGAUUC